GCUGGUAGCUCAACGGACAGAGCGCCCCUUUCGCAAGGGGGAGGUUGCGGGUUCGAUUCCCGUUCAGCCCG
rnacentral:tRNA from 1 species